GCCAGUCAGCCCCUCCGCCCAAAGGUUAGUCGACCUACUGGUGCCGCGGAGUCGAGUCGCGCCGCCCGCUCCCUCCCGCGCUCACUGUUUCUGAGGCUCGCCGCGUCCAGAGUGCUGCUGUAGUAUCUCGCUGUGAUGCCUAGGGUGUGAGGCGCCACCCAGAGACUCGUGUGUUCUGAGCGUGGCACGUACGCCGCCCCCCGUGACUCCCCAGGUCUCGGCGGUGCGGGAGUGGUGGAGGCGGCGGAGUGUCACGUGAUUUUAGUAAGUCACCAAAACAAAACACAAACGCACUGGGAAUCUCUAAACUUGUGCCGGACGUGUUGUAGUGCGCGUGUGUGUGUGUCUGUGUGCGUGUGCCGGUGGUGAGUCAGUGGUGAGCCAGUGCUGCGUAGUGCUGGUUCCCUGUGCUACCUGUGCUAACAUCUGUCACCUCAAGAAAAAGUAAACAGGAAAGGCGGAAGCUUGUCACCACCUCCUCCUGCUGCUCCUCACCUCACCAUCACCAGAAGGGCUACGCAGCAUCACCAUCGCCAGCAUCACCACCACCACCAUCAGCACCCAGGGAGGAAUAGUGCAGCACUCAGCACCGCCCCCACACCACCUCAGACGCCACCAUGCCGCCCGGCAAACACCUGAGGAAACCUGUGUGUUCGGAGUACAUUCGAAGACACAGUUUCCAGUCCCAAGGAUUCUUCGCUGAGCUUGGACCAUCGCAAUCAAUGACGUCAUCAGGUGAGCGUUUGUGUCUCCUGCUCUUUUUUUAUUUUUUCUCUAAUAAACGAAAAGCUUUUGCAUUUUAGAAAUAUUUAUUUCUUGCAAUCUUACUUUAGCCUUUUUUUCGAAUAAUCACGCAUGUUUGUUGAUAUAUAAUAGUGCCGAGAACAGCUUGGCAUUGUUCUUGACUAAAAUUGACCGAAUGGAUGAAUUACGUAUCAGAAAGGUUAGACAAAUCUAGAAAAUUGAUUUAAAAAUGCCAUCGACACCCACCAAUGAUCAGCAUCUGCUUUAAAAAUCAAAUAAAGUUCAUCAGUAAUGGCAGUCACAGCAAAAGUCCUGUUUGAAUAAGAAACAAGUCACAGGAUGCUGAAGAAACUCAUCGGACAGAAUGACACCACCACACAGGCCACCAUACACAAUCACCUCAACACCUUGCCUCAAAUCCAACACCGCGAUGAUCCCAGGCAAGGUAGACA